rnacentral:rRNA from 1 species
UGGAUCGUUCAUACCAUGUUGAACACUGCCCAUCCCAUCAGCACUGGGCACAUAAGCAACAUUGGGCCAGAUCAGUAGUACGGUGGGGGGCCACGUGCGAACCCCUGGUGACGAUCUGA